AACAAAACACAACAAAUUGCAAAUCAAAUUCACAAUAGAGAAAACACGACAACAUAAUCAGCAAAAAAGAAACCAAAAAGCAGAAAACACAACAUUAACGUCCACUGGAAAAGGACUGUCACUGAUGGGACAUAUUUGAAAUACGAAAUAAUUUUCAGAUUGUGUUUACCUGCUGCUUUCACAUGUAAACAUGAACACUACCAAUGAUUCAACAUUUGUGAUUAUCAAUCAUUUUAAUGCAGGGCAUACAUAUGAGGUGAUACUUGAUAGGCUGUCAACCCUUCACAAUAUCACAAUGAGUAUGUGCACUCGUUUAAAGACACGUUUAAAAGAAGCAGGGUUGUACAGAAGAAAGAACUAUUCCCAACUAGCUGAUUUGAGACAUGCCAUUCUGAAAGAGCUGCAUGGGCCCAGCCAACUGUUUGGCUAUUGGAUAUAGUGAUGAGACUGUUGAAACAAUGAAAUCCACAAGGGACGGAUUUUAGAACACGCCGGAGGUUUAUGAGACGUACAUAUCAUCCAUGGGACUAAACUACAUAUGGCAUGUAGAUGGCUACGAUAAGCUGAAACCCUCUGGCUUGGCUCUCUAAGGAUGUAUAGAUGGCUUUUCAAGAGGAAUAAUGCAGCUUGUUUGUGGGACUACUAACAACAACCCAUCUGUCAUCACUCACAAUUUAAUUAAUUGUGUCAAGUGCGUUGGUGUAAUCCCCAUGACAAUUAAGAACUGACUUCGGAACAGAAAAUGGGACAAUGGCAGCAAUACAAUGCACCCUCCGCCAUGAGCAUACCAAGUACUAUGCUGCAGGCUCAUCAAGCCACAAUUAUGGCUCAUCAGUAGGGGAUCAGCAUACUGAGUCAUGGUGGUCCUUUGUCGGGAAAGGAAGGGCUCAGUUUUGGAUGGACCUGAUGAGACCUGAGAGACCCUGGACACUUAAGUGGCAGCCUUGAACACCAGUGUUUACUGAGAUUGUGCUUCAGUAAUGUUGUGCAGAAAGACCUGGAUGAAUGAACCGACCUCUGGAGCAAACACAGGAUUCUCCAGACAUUCUCAUGUCCUGGAGGGAUUCCAAAUAAACUCUGUCUCUUAUCUCACAGGCUUGGUUCAAGGGAGUGAAGACAGGGAACUAAGGCAGACUAUUCAUUCAUGUGGUGAUCCAGACAUUCAGGAUUAACUACAACAUACUGUGGAACAAAAUGGAUUACAGUAGCCAUAUAAUUCAAAGUCAGCUUCAGACCUAUACAUUACUCUCAAGGAAAUAGCUGUGCUAUAAAUAUGGACUAAUAUACAAAUAUGGAUUACUGCAGACCUCUCUUAAGGGCCAGGUAUUAUGGAAAACAGCUUAUUUCUGGCCCUUCCACGUGCUCCUUGGUAUCACUGACUUUACUAACAGAGAAAAUAAUUCCAUUUAUUUAGCAGGAAAUGGCCUUAGGACCAUACAUAACUGACAGAUGAUUGGUGGACUGGAAGUGCUUGUUUUUUGUGAAAUGCUAUUAAAAUCUUGGCUGUUAACUGACCUAUAAAUGGCAUGAAGAGUUUUCAUUGUUAAUUAAAGGUCAUUAUCCCAAAGUUCUCAAAUGUGUUUUUGCUUUUUUUUCAAUGUCAGGUUUG